UCCCAAGAAUAGCUCAGUCAGUAGAGCAUGAGACUCUUCAUCUUAGAGUCAUGGGUUUGAGCCCCAUGUUGGGCG